GAUGAACGCUGGCGGCGUGCCUAAUACAUGCAAGUCGAGCGAACAGACGAGGAGCUUGCUCCUCUGACGUUAGCGGCGGACGGGUGAGUAACACGUGGAUAACCUACCUAUAAGACUGGGAUAACUUCGGGAAACCGGAGCUAAUACCGGAUAAUAUAUUGAACCGCAUGGUUCAAUAGUGAAAGACGGUUUUGCUGUCACUUAUAGAUGGAUCCGCGCCGCAUUAGCUAGUUGGUAAGGUAACGGCUUACCAAGGCAACGAUGCGUAGCCGACCUGAGAGGGUGAUCGGCCACACUGGAACUGAGACACGGUCCAGACUCCUACGGGAGGCAGUAGUAGGGAAUCUUCAGCAAUGGGCGAAAGCCUGACGGAGCAACGCCGCGUGAGUGAUGAAGGUCUUCGGAUCGUAAAACUCUGUUAUUAGGGAAGAACAAAUGUGUAAGUAACUAUGCACGUCUUGACGGUACCUAAUCAGAAAGCCACGGCUAACUACGUG
rnacentral:rRNA from 1 species